GAAUAAGGCUCUCCGCCAGACCGCUGCCGAGCCGCCAUCAUGGAUACGAGCCGUGUGCAGCCUAUCAAGUUGGCCAGGGUCACCAAAGUCCUCGGCAGGACCGGUUCUCAGGGACAGUGCACGCAGGUGCGCGGGGAAUUUAUGGACGACACGAGCCGCUCCAUCAUCCGCAACGUAAAAGGUCCCGUGCACGAGGGCGACGUGCUGACCCUGUUGGAGUCCGAGCGAGAGGCCCGGAGGUUGCGCUGAGUUUGGCUGCUCGCUGGGUUUUGGAUGUUGGAUUCGACCACUUGAGAUGGAAAUGGUGUGUCACGAUCUGGUCCUUUAUUUUAUGCUGCCACACGUAAAUUGAGAUGGACCUUUAAAUAAAGCCUUUGUGAUAGAAGUUAAAAAAAAAAAAAAAAAAA